AUGUACAUCCCUACAACAUAGAGUUAAUGCAUCGAAUCCCAUUAUAACUUUGUAGUUAAGCACGCUCAGGCUAGAUUCGUACAAGGAUGGGUGACCUCCUGGGAAGUCCUUUUGUUUUACAUG
rfam:Picea glauca, whole genome shotgun sequence.